rnacentral:rRNA from 1 species
ACGAACUGUGCGAACGUUAUUCGGAAUCACUGGGCUUACAGGGUGCGUAGGCGGCUUGUUAAGUAGGGUGUGAAAUCCCCCGGCCCAACCGGGGAAUUGCGCUCUAAACUAGCAGGCUUGAGUGAGCUAGGGGUGCACGGAACUUCCAGUGGAGCGGUGAAAUGUGUUGAUAUUGGAAGGAACACCGGAGGCGAAAGCGGUGCACUGGGGCUUAACUGACGCUGAGGCACGAAAGCCAGGGGAGCGAACGGGAUUAGAUACCCCGGUAGUCCUGGCCGUAAACGAUGAACACUGGGCGGGAGAAGGUUCGCCUUUUCCGGCCGUAGCGAAAGCGUUAAGUGUUCCGCCUGGGGAGUAUGGUCGCAAGGCUG